UACGUAGGUCCCGAGCGUUGUCCGGAUUUAUUGGGCGUAAAGCGAGCGCAGGUGGUUUAUUAAGUCUGGUGUGAAAGGCAGUAGCUCAACCAUUGUAUGCAUUGGAAACUGGUAGACUUGAGUGCAGGAGAGGAGAGUGGAAUUCCAUGUGUAGCGGUGAAAUGCGUAGAUAUAUGGAGGAACACCGGUGGCGAAAGCGGCUCUCUGGCCUGUAACUGACACUGAGGCUCGAAAGCGUGGGGAGCAAACAGG
rnacentral:rRNA from 1 species